rnacentral:rRNA from 1 species
AGUUCGGAUUGUAGUCUGCAACCCGACUACAUGAAGCCGGAAUCGCUAGUAAUCGCGGAUCAGAAUGCCGCGGUGAAUACGUUCCCGGGUCUUGUACACACCGCCCGUCACACCAUGGGAGCCGGUAAUGCCCGAAGUCUGUGGCCCAACCGAAAGGAAGGAGCAGCCGAAGGCAGGCCCGGUGACUGGGGUGAAGUCGUAACAAGGUACC